AUUGAACGCUGGCGGCGUGCUUAACACAUGCAAGUCGAACGUGAAAGUCCUUCGGGGCGAGUAAAGUGGCGCACGGGUGAGUAACGCGUGGAUAAUCUACCCUUAAGAUGGGGAUAACGGCUGGAAACGGUCGCUAAUACCGAAUACGCUCCCGAUUUUAUCGUUGGGGGGAAAGAUGGCCUCUGCUUGCAAGCUAUCGCUUAAGGAUGAGUCCGCGCCCCAUUAGCUAGUUGGCGGGGUAACGGCCCACCAAGGCGACGAUGGGUAGCCGGUCUGAGAGGAUGACCGGCCACACUGGAACUGGAACACGGUCCAGACUCCUACGGGAGGCAGCAGUGGGGAAUAUUGCGCAAUGGGCGAAAGCCUGACGCAGCGACGCCGCGUGAGGGAUGAAGGUUCUCGGAUCGUAAACCUCUGUCAGGGGGGAAGAAACCCCCUCGUGUGAAUAAUGCGAGGGCUUGACGGUACCCCCAAAGGAAGCACCGGCUAACUCCGUGCCAGCAGCCGCGGUAAUACGGAGGGUGCAAGCGUUAAUCGGAAUCACUGGGCGUAAAGCGCACGUAGGCGGCUUGGUAAGUCAGGGGUGAAAUCCCACAGCCCAACUGUGGAACUGCCUUUGAUACUGCCAGGCUUGAGUACCGGAGAGGGUGGCGGAAUUCCAGGUGUAGGAGUGAAAUCCGUAGAUAUCUGGAGGAACACCGGUGGCGAAGGCGGCCACCUGGACGGUAACUGACGCUGANGUGCGAAAGCGUGGGUAGCAAACAGGAUUAGAUACCCUGGUAGUCCACGCUGUAAACGAUGGGUGCUGGGUGCUGGGAUGUAUGUCUCGGUGCCGUANCUNGCGCGAUAAGCACCCCNGCCNGGGGGAGUANGGUCGCANNNNUGAAACUCNNNAAAUUGACGGGGGGCCCNCACAAGCNGUGAAGUAUGUGGUUUAAUUCGAUGCAACGCGGAGAACCUUACCCAGGCUUGACAUCUAGGGGAACCCUAAUCGAAUUCCCGC
rnacentral:rRNA from 1 species